rnacentral:rRNA from 1 species
GGGUUGUGAGGUUAAGCGACUAAGCGUACACGGUGGAUGCCCUGGCAGUCAGAGGCGAUGAAGGGCGUGCUAAUCUGCGAUAAGCGCCGGUAAGGUGAUAUGAACCGUUAUAACCGGCGAUACCCGAAUGGGGAAACCCAGUGUGACUCGUCACACUAUCAUUAACUGAAUCCAUAGGUUAAUGAGGCGAACCGGGGGAACUGAAACAUCUAAGUACCCCGAGGAAAAGAAAUCAACCGAGAUUCCCCCAGUAGCGGCGAGCGAACGGGGAGGAGCCCAGAGCCUGAAUCAGCAUGUGUGUUAGUGGAAGCGUCUGGAAAGGCGCGCGAUACAGGGUGACAGCCCCGUACACAAAAGCGCAUGUGCUG